CCUCAGAGUCAAGAGACAAGCUAAUGCCCCAGCCAGGUGUAAACAGGCCAAAUGGGAUAUCAGCUGCUAAGUGGCUAUUCAUUGGUAGGAAAAGGGACAUGGGCGAAAAAUCUACAUCUUAAAAAGAAACAUUUUGGGGUUCCCGUCCACACAGACAUUGCGUCUCCUGAACCUCAGCUGGAAGUGCUUCUUGAAGAAGAGAAAGAGCUAUAAUAAUGGAGAGUAGAUACCCCAAAUCAUUCCUCCCUUUCUGUCUACCUAUGGCAUCCACGACACCUGAAGAACAAAGGAAGCAGCAUUGGACUGGGGGAACACAUGGUGAGAGAAACCUUGCUUUGAAUUCAUUCUAGUUUAAGUUUUCACAGGGUCUCUGCAGAGAAACCAAGUGUCUGCUGUGGGACAGGGGUAUGGGAGGCUACAGGAGAAGGAGAACUGUGAAGAUACUCUGCACAGAUCCGGUUUCUAAAGGGAGCAUAAUCUAAAGUGCCACUAAAGAGUAACCAAGAGAAGCCUUUUUAAGAAGUUCAGUCUUCCAGGCUCUCUAUAAUGAGUAAUGAUGAGAGCCUAUACUGACUUCUACUCAUUGAGGUAAAACGACACAAACAGACAAAGUAGGAGAGAAAGGAAUAGAAAAGUGUGUGCUACAAUCUGACAAGGCUCCAGCAAGAGAAGAAUGUCAACAAAUUGGCAAGAAUUCAGAAAGGGGCAAUAAAAAUGAUUGGAGAGAGUGACUAAUGAAAAAAUAAAACUAUAACAAUAACUUGGCCAAAUGAUGACUAUGUGAGGAGGGAGAGUGCUAUGGUAACUGUCUACAACUAUUUGGAAACUGGAAGCACCAACAAAAGAGGAGAUUUGUUUAGAGUGGUCCAAUAGGACACACAGAGGUAAUGGGAUUAAACUAACUGAAGGAACAUUUAGCAAAAUUUCCUAAUGGUGAGAUCUAGAAAAUGUGGUGGAAAUAUCUCCCAAGGGAAGCAGUGGAAACUUCAUUGUUUGAGUAAUGUACAAUAUCAUCUGGACAAAGCAGUGGAGUAUGUACAUUGGAGAACAGUUCUCACUGGCAGGGGUGGAGGACUGGACUAAAUGAUUUAACGGAUCUUUUCCAUUUCUAAUUUUUGAGACAAAAUUAACAGCUGUUCAUUAACCUGUCAGAACUAUCUCCUUGCAUAAUUCAGCUAACGAUGUUUUUUC